AACGCGAAGAACCUUACCAGGUCUUGACAUCCUCUGACACUCCUAGAGAUAGGACUUUCCCCUUCGGGGGACAGAGUGACAGGUGGUGCAUGGUUGUCGUCAGCUCGUGUCGUGAGAUGUUGGGUUAAGUCCCGCAACGAGCGCAACCCUUGAUCUUAGUUGCCAGCAUUCAGUUGGGCACUCUAAGGUGACUGCCGGUGACAAACCGGAGGAAGGUGGGGAUGACGUCAAAUCAUCAUGCCCCUUAUGACCUGGGCUACACACGUGCUACAAUGGAUGGUACAAAGGGCAGCGAAACCGCGAGGUUAAGCCAAUCCCAUAAAACCAUUCUCAGUUCGGAUUGCAGGCUGCAACUCGCCUGCAUGAAGCCGGAAUCGCUAGUAAUCGCGGAUCAGCAUGCCGCGGUGAAUACGUUCCCGGGCCUUGUACACACCG
rnacentral:rRNA from 2 species